rnacentral:rRNA from 1 species
GACGAACCGUGCGAACGUUGUUCGGAAUCACUGGGCUUAAAGGGCGCGUAGGCGGGCUGUCAAGUCAGGGGUGAAAUCUUUCGGCUCAACCGGAAAACUGCCUUUGAUACUGACAACCUUGAGGAAGGUAGGGGCAUGUGGAACUUCCGGUGGAGCGGUGAAAUGCGUAGAUAUCGGAAGGAACACCGGUGGCGAAAGCGACGUGCUGGACCUUUUCUGACGCUGAGGCGCGAAAGCCAGGGGAGCAAACGGG